CACGUAGGGGGCAAGCGUUGUCCGGAUUUAUUGGGCGUAAAGCGUGCGCAGGCGGUUUUGUAAGUCUGUCGUGAAAGCCCCGGGCUCAACCUGGGAAUUGCGAUGGAGACUGCAAGGCUUGAAUCUGGCAGAGGGGGGUAGAAUUCCACGUGUAGCAGUGAAAUGCGUAGAGAUGUGGAGGAACACCGAUGGCGAAGGCAGCCCCCUGGGUCAAGAUUGACGCUCAUGCACGAAAGCGUGGGGAGCAAACAGG
rnacentral:rRNA from 1 species